GCUGUUAACAUAGCCAGUAGUCAGAGGCCAUUCAGGCCAGGGGCCGGCGCACGAAACCUGUUUGGAGGUUAUGGAUGAUAAACCCAAUCCUGAAGCCCUAAGUGACAGUUCAGAGCAUCUUUUCUCCUUUGGCGUUAUCGCAGAUGUUCAAUAUGCAGACUUAGAAGAUGGCUUUAAUUUCCAAGGAACCAGGCGGCGAUACUACAGACAUAGUCUUCUUCACUUACAGGGUGCCAUUGAAGACUGGAAUAAUGAAAGCAGCAUGCCCUGUUGUGUCCUUCAGCUUGGAGAUAUCAUCGAUGGAUAUAAUGCACUGUAUAAUGCAUCCGAAAAGUCCCUAGAACUUGUUAUGGACAUGUUCAAGAGGCUUAAAGUUCCAGUUCAUCAUACAUGGGGAAACCAUGAAUUCUAUAACUUCAGUAGAGAGUAUUUAACACACUCUAAACUUAACACUAAGUUUCUAGAAGAUCAGAUUGUACAUCAUCCUGAGACCAUGCCUUCAGAGGAUUAUUAUGCUUAUCAUUUUGUACCAUUCCCUAAAUUCCGGUUCAUUUUACUUGAUGCAUAUGACUUGAGUGUCUUGGGCGUGGAUCAGUCUUCUCCAAAAUACGAGCAGUGUAUGAAGAUAUUGAGGGAGCACAAUCCAAAUACGGAACUGAAUAGUCCUCAAGGUGAAUUAUUCCUUUGAGCUGAGAAUCUAAUAGAUUGUCUUUAAAUUCUUCAGCUACCUUUUAUUCAGCAGGAAGAUGGACAAUUAAGGUAAAAGUAUAUUGUCACUUGUUCAGGGUCAGGAUUUCUCACAAGCCUUCUCUCACAUGGAUUGGUUACAGUUGAUUCAAGAUUGAUUUAACAGAUAUUUUAAAUGCCUAUUUUAGGCCGGGCACUUUUUCUAGGGGUAGAUAUUCCGAGCUGUAAACAAUACUAACAAUAUUACUUUUUUGAUGGCUGGAAUGGAGGAAACAAACAGUACGUGGGCAAGACAGAUGAUAAAUGAAACAAACAAGAUUAUUUCCAUGGUCGUAAGUGCUGCCAAGGAAAUAGAGUAUGAUGUUAUAGAGUGUUACGGAAAA
rnacentral:sRNA from 1 species